rnacentral:rRNA from 1 species
GGAAGUUGGCGGUGUAACGGACCACCAAUCCGUCGAUGCGUAGGGGUUCUGAGAGGAAGGCCCCCCACACUGGUACUGAGACACGGACCAGACUCCUACGGGAGGCAGCAGUGAGGAAUAUUGGUCAAUGGGCGAGAGCCUGAACCAGCCAAGUCGCGUGAGGGAAGAAGGUACUGAGUAUUGUAAACCUCUUUUGCCAGGGGACAAAGGCGGCCACGGGUGGCCGUAAGAGGGUACCUGGAGAAAAAGCAUCGGCUAACUCCGUGCCAGCAGCCGCGGUAAUACGGAGGAUGCGAGCGUUAUCCGGAUUUAUUGGGUUUAAAGGGUGCGCAGGCGGCGUGUCAAGUCAGCGGUAAAAUGUCGGGGCUCAACCCCGGCCGGCCGUUGAAACUGGCGUGCUCGAGUUGGAGAGAAGUAUGCGGAAUUCGUGGUGUAGCGGUGAAAUGCAUAGAUAUCACGAAGAACCCCGAUUGCGAAGGCAGCAUACCGGCUCCACACUGACGCUGAGGCACGAAAGCGUGGGUAUCGAACAGGAUUAGAUACCCUGGUAGUCCACGCAGUAAACGAUGAAUGCUAGGUGUCCGGGGCUUUGUGUCCUGGGUGCC